UAGUAAUCGCGGAUCAGAAUGCCGCGGUGAAUACGUUCCCGGGUCUUGUACACACCGCCCGUCACACCAUGGGAGUCGGGAAUGCCCGAAGCCAGUGACCCAAGCGAGAGCAGGGAGCUGUCGAAGGCAGGCCGGAUAACUGGGGUGAAGUCGUAACAAGGUACC
rnacentral:rRNA from 1 species